rnacentral:lncRNA from 1 species
CUUCUUUUUGGUUAGAUUGAAUCCACAGUGGAAGUGAAAAUACAUAAACAAAGACCAAAUUAACAUUAAAAAAACCAAGAAAAAUAGAAGGAAGCUAGUUUUUGGGCAAGUUAUCUGAAAAGCCUACGCAAGAUAGUUUUUCUCUUUAGUUUUUGCUCAAAUAUUAUGCUUUAGGAUAACAGAAUGUCCAGGCUCUGAGAAAGAUGCUGGAUUCUCAUCCAUACAGCAUCUGGAAUAAUAAAGUCAUUUCUCUGGGAACUUUUUGUGACCCUUUCCUUGAAACUCAACACACCAAUUGCAAAAAUAUAAGCAUAACAACUACAAACCAGCUAAAGAGGAGUACUUUGUUUCCAAAACUUUAUUGACAGUUACAGCAUCUCGUUUCACUUUGGUGAUACAGCAGUCAUUGGUGUAAGACAGUAAGAGCAUCUGAUGGAAGAAAGUAAGUAUCCAGUCAGACGCUUCACCUGCCCUGUGUCACAGUUACAUUGAAAAUAAGAGCUUAAAGUUCUAAGAUUCGCUUGACAAAGAUUCAUGCCUCCUAGUCAAAGCAAGAAAAUGAAUAGAAAAUGCAAAAUACAACAUAAAAAAUAACCCAUGACCUCUCACAUACGUUAUGCCAAGUCUUAGACACAAGUAAACAUUCUACAAUCAAACUUGUGAGAAAAAUAUAAUUGCCAAACAAUUGAUAUAAGGAAGUCCCUUUCUUAUGUAACAUGAGAUAUUCGAGCAGACAAUCAUAUAAAUCAAACAAAUAAUACAAAUGGAAGAAUCAACCAUCAUUCACGCCAUAAAGAAGGUAGAGCAAGCAGAAAAGACCCAUGGCAUAUGCUACGUCUCAACAGAGUGGCACAGCAGGUACUCGCCUGCACCUAUAAAGCUAUGGAAGUCAUGCAAGCAUAUAUGGAAAUAACCAAAAUAUAAAAAAGAUAAAACUUCAAAUGGAGUCAAUAAAUCAUUUGACAUUAAUGCCCACCUUAGUGCAAAUAGAUACCAGUAGAAGACAAAUUUUAGAAAUAACUUGGCGAAUACUUGCCCGUAUGGAAUACCCAGAGUGUAUAUGAAUGGCAUAACCAUCAAGUUCAAUUAAAAACAUGUCAAAAUUGAAAUUAUUCAGCAGUCUAUUUGUAAUAAGUCUUCUACAAAUCGGGUAUAUACAGACACGAACAAAUUUCACUCUGGAACAAUAUGCUAUUGAUGAACUAACCACUAAGCAGUUUCCAUCUGUACAAAUAAUUGUGGAGGAAGGAUUAUUUACAUGCAUGAGAACAAAAGGAAGAAAGCAACUGAACAGGAGCAAAAAGGAGACCAAUAUGUUUCUAAAUAUUUAUGACCAUGACUAGAAAAAGACCUCCUUUUAAGUAGUUGGAGGCUCAUAAAACUGAACAAAACUCUCAGGUAACAGAGGUGAAAGAUCCGUCAACAACUCAUGUCUUCUCCCCCAGGACAAAGAUCUUGUUAGGAACUAUAAGGAAAAAAAAAUAUAUAUCAUAUUCCAAACAUUUAUGCCAAUGAAAACAGAAAGGGAGCACACUGGCUGGAUCACCCCUUUCAAGAGACAGAAUAUCGAACCCACAGACUUGAUAUAGGUAAGAAACCUCAAAGUAGACAUAAGAAAUAAAAACGGAUGACAGCCUACUUGAGAGAUAAGUACUACUCCUAAAAAUGGGUUUCUGCAGCAAGUUUACACAUAACAGAUACCAAUCGAUACAACACAAAACCUUAAUCAAAUUACAUAUGACAAAACUGAAAGGGCAAACAUAAAAUCUUCCUGGUUAAGGUGUACUAGUUACCUUCUUUUAGCAACAGUUGUUAAUGAGCUGUGCAUUUCCGUGAUAACAAGGCAUUAAGAAGAAAGGUUUAGGAAACAGAAUAUUAAGUAUUGGUGUCAUUAAUUCCAAAGGAUUAUCCCAAGUAGAUUGUCUGGUCCUGUUGUUGUAAUAAUAUCUCUAGAAAUUCAGAGGAAUCAUAUUCAACUAGUGUGAGAAACAAAAUAUAGAACACCUCCUAAAGAACACGAUAAACAUAAUGUUGUAGCAAAACCAAGAAGUAAAGUUCAAGAGGGAUGCAAAUUGUUCUAAGAAAUGCUGAUCACGUACUCUGCCACCAUAUUUUCGAUAAGAGUCCAACAUGGACUAACUUAUUGUGAGAAUUAGGUGACAUAUUGCAACUGUCAACAACUAAUAACAUGCCAAAUGAAAUUGUGAUAAGUGACACAAAGCAUUUAAAAUAAUGUGAAAUAUGUCAUUGCAGAAUGUGCAUUAUAUUAUUUUGUCCUUCUCCAUGUUUUUAAAGGCAUUAAUAGAAGAUUCAUCAAGGAAGAAAAAAGCAAUUCCAAGGGUAUCUACACUGUUUUUGUAAAUGCUGUUUCAAUUUACUUGAAAUCAUUCUAAAGCCAACAAGAAUCUUUAGAAAUUCUCAAGGUACUCUAAAAAAUAGCAAUGGCCACUAAAUUUACGAGGAUAUAAUUUGUGGAAGGAUUGAUUUUCAUCUAGUCAGGGAGAGUAAAACUAUCAGUAAGAUGAACAUGUCAUACUAGCAAUCAUGAACGUGGUAUGAAACCUCCUUUGACUUUGGUUAAGCAAAUUAAUACCAACCAAAAUAACCCUCAUUGGCGUUAUUAAGAAAACUAAUAUCUACCAAAAUGAAGCUAAAACAAUAUUAUCCCCAUCAUUAUUGUUUGGAAUUAAAAGAUCACCCAUUCGUUACACCUUUAGGAACUAUGUAGAGAACAAAGCAAGACUAAAUGAGGGAGCCAUAAAACCUUUCUUUCAUAGCCAAGGGCUAAAAAGCUACAGAGAAGGCACUAGAUAAUUUUAAGUCACAGGCAUUAACAGGGCUUACAAGAACCAUAAGGAUUAGUUUUCACACACUACCUGGGCACCAGAAAUUGACCAUUUCACCAAUGCAGUGGACUCAAAAAAUAUGUAUAAAACCAACAAAUAUUAUAUCAAGUUAGUGAUACAUGAAAUGGCAUAAUAAAACAGGCUCAAAGUCAAUGUAUGCAUAUUAGGAAGAAAACCACCCAUUAACCUUGCAGUGUUUGCACCAAAAGUUAUAUGCGACUACAUAACAUAUAUGUGAAUGCAAAUGGAGAAUUGCAAUAUAUAUGCGGCAGCUGCCACAGUAAUAACUUCAGCAAGGUCUAACCACAUAAAGAAAUAAAAUAGUAUCACGCACCAAUGUGAUUAUGAAGUGAGUAAAAAAAAUGCAGAAUAACAACUUUGUCUGGAUUAGACAUAAGAAAAAUAUGUAUCAUUGCCAUCUGUUCAGUACACAUUGCUUUUCAAUUGUAUCAAUGAGAAU